UACGGAGGGUGCAAGCGUUAUCCGGAUUCACUGGGUUUAAAGGGUGCGUAGGCGGGCAUGUAAGUCCGUGGUGAAAUCUCCGAGCUUAACUCGGAAACUGCCAUGGAUACUAUGUGUCUUGAAUGUUGUGGAGGUGAGCGGAAUAUGUCAUGUAGCGGUGAAAUGCUUAGAUAUGACAUAGAACACCAAUUGCGAAGGCAGCUUGCUACACAAUCAUUGACACUGAGGCACGAAAGCGUGGGGAUCAAACAGG
rnacentral:rRNA from 1 species